AAGGAGCCUACUUUGUUUGGAGACAGCAGACCGUCCUGGAUUGCUGCUUGAAGUUAUUAAAAUACUGGCCGAUAUCAAUAUUGUGGUUGAAUCGGCAGAGAUAGAUACAGAAGGGUUGGUGGCCAAGGACAAGUUUCAUGUCAGUUAUGGGGGAGCUGCACUGAAUAGUUCCUUAUCUCAGGUUAUGGUAAAUUGCCUACGUUACUACCUGCGGAGGCCGGAGACAGACGUGGAUAGUUACUAAGAUUGUCUCAAUGUAAUGUUUGAAACUGUUUGAGAGCUGAGGUCUGGGACCCUUUGCUUUUGAGUUCUCGUGAUUUCCUGAAUUUUAUAUUUUGAAAUUUCGAGCUCUCAGAUGCUCUAUGAGUCUGAUUAACUCAAAGUUGUUCAUCCUGAGAUCUUAUUUCACUUGUAUAGAUUUGAAGAAUCAGAUAUUGUCACACAAUAAUAAUGGG
rnacentral:misc_RNA from 1 species